ACUCCUACGGGAGGCAGCAGUGGGGAAUAUUGCACAAUGGGCGCAAGCCUGAUGCAGCCAUGCCGCGUGUAUGAAGAAGGCCUUCGGGUUGUAAAGUACUUUCAGCAGUGAGGAAGGUGGUAGUGUUAAUAGCACUAUCAUUUGUACGUUAGCUGCAGAAGAAGCACCGGCUAACUCCGUGCCAGCAGCCGCGGUAAUACGGAGGGUGCGAGCGUUAAUCGGAAUUACUGGGCGUAAAGCGCAUGCAGGUGGUUUGUUAAGUUCAGAUGUGAAAGCCCGGGGCUCAACCUCGGAAUUGCAUUUGAAACUGGCAGACUAGAGUACUGUAGAGGGGGUAGAAUUUCAGGUGUAGCGGUGAAAUGCGUAGAGAUCUGAAGG
rnacentral:rRNA from 1 species